rnacentral:rRNA from 1 species
GAUGAACGCUCGCGGGAGGCCUAACACAUGCAAGCCGAGCGGUAUUUGUCCUUCGGGACAGAGAGAGCGGCGUACGGGUGCGGAACACGUGUGCAACCUGCCUUUAUCUGGGGGAUAGCCUUUCGAAAGGAAGAUUAAUACCCCAUAAUAUAUCGAAUGGCAUCAUUCGAUAUUGAAAACUCCGGUGGAUAGAGAUGGGCACGCGCAAGAUUAGAUAGUUGGUGAGGUAACGGCUCACCAAGUCAGUGAUCUUUAGGGGGCCUGAGAGGGUGAUCCCCCACACUGGUACUGAGACACGGACCAGACUCCUACGGGAGGCAGCAGUGAGGAAUAUUGGACAAUGGGUGAGAGCCUGAUCCAGCCAUCCCGCGUGAAGGACUAAGGCCCUAUGGGUUGUAAACUUCUUUUAUACUGGGAUAAACCUACUUACGUGUAAGUAGCUGAAGGUACAGGAUGAAUAAGCACCGGCUAACUCCGUG